rnacentral:misc_RNA from 1 species
CCAAUAGCGUAUAUUAAAGUUGUUGCAGUUAAAAAGCUCGUAGUUGAAUUUCGGGAUUGGCGCAUCGGUCGUGCCUCACGGGGUAUGAACUGGUGCAGUCAAUUUCUCACCUUCUGGAGAACCGCGAUGUCCUUAAUUGGAUGCCGCGGGGAACCAGGACCUUUACUUUGAAAAAAUUAGAGUGUUUAAAGCAGGCAUUUUUGCUUGAAUACAUUAGCAUGGAAUAAUAAAAUAGGACGGCAUGGUUCUAUUUUGUUGGUUUCUAGGACCACCGUAAUGAUUAAUAGGGAUAGUUGGGGGCAUUAGUAUUCAAUUGUCAGAGGUGAAAUUCUUGGAUUUAUUGAAGACUAACUACUGCGAAAGCAUUUGCCAAGGAUGUUUUCAUUAAUCAAGAACGAAAGUUAGGGGAUCGAAGACGAUCAAAUACCGUCGUAGUCUUAACCAUAAACUAUGCCGACUAGGAAUCAGACGAUGUUAAUUUUUUAAUGACUCGUUUGGCACCUUACG